rnacentral:rRNA from 1 species
AUACGUAGGUGGCAAGCGUUGUCCGGAAUUACUGGGUGUAAAGGGUGCGUAGGCGGGUCUGCAAGUCAGAUGUGAAAUCUCGGGGCUUAACCCUGAAACUGCGUUUGAAACUGUAGGUCUUGAGUGGAGGAGAGGUAAGCGGAAUUCCCAGUGUAGCGGUGAAAUGCGUAGAUUUUGGGAGGAACACCAGUGGCGAAGGCGACUUACUGGACUCUAACUGACGCUGAAGCACGAAAGCGUGGGGAGCAAACAGGAUUAGAUACCCUGGUAGUCCACGCCGUAAACGAUGAUUACUAGGUGUAGGGGGUAUCGACUCCCUCUGUGCCGCAGUUAACACAAUAAGUAAUCCACCUGGGGAGUACGGCCGCAAGGUUGA